rnacentral:snoRNA from 1 species
UUGCAUGAUGUAACGGCACUGGGCUCCGAUAUCAAAUGAGCAGACAUGCCACUUCUGCGACAGGCCUAGAAAACCUCGUCCACUGAAC